rnacentral:rRNA from 1 species
UACGGAGGGGGCUAGCGUUGUUCGGAAUUACUGGGCGUAAAGCGCACGUAGGCGGCUUUGUAAGUUAGAGGUGAAAGCCCGGGGCUCAACUCCGGAAUUGCCUUUAAGACUGCAUCGCUAGAAUUGUGGAGAGGUAAGUGGAAUUCCGAGUGUAGAGGUGAAAUUCGUAGAUAUUCGCAAGAACACCAGUGGCGAAGGCGGCUUACUGGUCCGGUUCUGACGCUGGAGGCACGAAAGCGUGGGGAGCAAACAGG